UACGGAGGGGGCUAGCGUUGUCCGGAUUUAUUGGGCUUAAAGCGUCCGUAGGCGGACUUAUAAGUCAGUGGUGAAAGCCUGUCGCUUAACGAUAGAACUGCCAUUGAUACUGUAAGUCUUGAGUAUAUUUGAGGUAGCUGGAAUAAGUAGUGUAGCGGUGAAAUGCAUAGAUAUUAGGUAGAACACCAAUUGCGAAGGCAGGUUACCAAGAUAAAACUGACGCUGAGGGACGAAAGCGUGGGGAGCGAACAGG
rnacentral:rRNA from 1 species